AUGCUCGUGUACCAGGACAAGCUUUCCGGCGACGAGCUUCUGUCGGAUUCGUUCCCUUACAGGGAGCUGGAGAACGGCGUGCUCUGGGAAGUCGAUGGCCAUUGGGUCGUUCAAGGAGCAGUUGAUGUGGACAUUGGAGCCAAUCCCUCUGCUGAGGGUGGUGGUGAUGAUGAGGGUGUUGAUGACCAGGCCGUGAAGGUGGUUGACAUUGUUGACACCUUCCGUCUUCAGGAGCAACCUGCUUUUGACAAGAAGCAGUUUAUCUCUCACAUGAAGCGCUACAUCAAGAACCUCUCUGCCAAGCUUGAAGGGGAUGACCUAGAUGCUUUCAAGAAGAAUGUUGAGUCCGCCACAAAGUAUCUUCUUAGCAAGCUCAAGGACCUUCAGUUCUUUGUUGGCGAGAGCAUGCAUGAUGAUGGCGGCGUGGUGUUCGCCUACUACAAGGAGGGAGCUGCUGAUCCAACUUUCCUGUACUUUGCACAUGGGCUGAAAGAGGUCAAGUGCUAA
rnacentral:rRNA from 1 species